rnacentral:rRNA from 1 species
AUACGGAGGGGGUUAGCGUUGUUCGGAAUUACUGGGCGUAAAGCGCACGUAGGCGGACUGGAAAGUUGGGGGUGAAAUCCCGGGGCUCAACCCCGGAACUGCCUCCAAAACUUCCAAUCUAGAGAUCGAGAGAGGUGAGUGGAAUUCCAAGUGUAGAGGUGAAAUUCGUAGAUAUUUGGAGGAACACCAGAGGCGAAGGCGGCUCACUGGCUCGAUACUGACGCUGAGGUGCGAAAGCGUGUGGAGCAAACAGGAUUAGAAACCCUAGUAGUCC